GCUACAGCUCAGUGUUAGAGUGCUUGCCUUGCACGCUGGGGGCCCAGGGUUCAAUCCCCAGUACG
rnacentral:tRNA from 1 species